CACGUAGGGUGCGAGCGUUAAUCGGAAUUACUGGGCGUAAAGCGUGCGCAGGCGGUUCGUUGUGUCGGUGGUGAAAUCCCCGGGCUUAACCUGGGAAUGGCCAUGGAAACUGGCGAACUGGAGUGCGGCAGAGGGGGGUGGAAUUCCGCGUGUAGCAGUGAAAUGCGUAGAGAUGCGGAGGAACACCGAUGGCGAAGGCAGCCCCCUGGGCUAACACUGACGCUGAGGCACGAAAGCGUGGGGAGCAAACAGG
rnacentral:rRNA from 1 species